rnacentral:lncRNA from 1 species
ACACUUAUCUAUAUGCGUAGCCUUUUGAGUCUAAGAAAAAAUUGAAAUGAAAUAUAAUUUUGCAGGAAAAAGCUUUUUUUUCUUCCCUCUCUACCCAAAAAAACGAAUGCACUCAACACACAAUACCCUGUUUUUCCCUCUCCCUCGAGUUCUUCGUGUUUUUCGUCAAAGUCUUACGUUCUUCCUCACCGUCUCUCCUCACUGUCUUGCAUUCCUGUCGCGAUUCCUGUCUAAUGUUCCUCCUCCCUUAACACUGAGCUUUGGUAGGUCUGUUUGUCAUAUGUCUCGCUCUUUCAACUAUGUAAUUUAGGGUUUUUUUUCUUAGACUUGUUUGGAUGAAUUUUGUUUUAUUAUUUGUUUGGGGUUUCAAAGAUUUUUAGGAUUUUGAGUGUCUGGAAGUCUCUG